GACCGAUAAAGGUAAACCUAUCGAAAGGUAGGGGCACAAAGCCAGGGGCCUAAGGCUUUAUAUGGAGCUAUGGUAGCCGGUUGCCGAA
rnacentral:ncRNA from 2 species